AAUCAUAACAGACAGAGUUAGUCGGAAUGAUGUCGCUCAUCAGUUUAACUGCUCAGUGGAUCAGGAGGAUUUUACUCAGUCGUGCUACAUGCUAAACAUGGUGAAAAUAUGA